AGUUGUAGCAGUUUGCAGAGGCCUCUUUUCCUCUAAUCUCCAAUUCACUACUCUCUUAAAAGAGAGGAUGUUGCAUUUACUAUUCAUUUGUACACCCUUGUGUUCACACCUACUCAGCUUUGCACUGUUCAUUAUUCAAUUCCCAUAAAUUACUCCUACGCUUUACCUUCUCCUUUGUCUUUUACUUUCCCUUUCUUUUCAAGAGCAGCUCUCGAUUUCUAGAAGCUGUAUUUUUUACAAUUUCUUGAUUUUCACAUAAACUAAUUUAUUGGUUACCAACUAAUUUAAGAUGAAGUGCCAAUUAUAUUUGUUACGAUUUCUUCACUUCUAUUGUUGAAUUUGCAAUUUAUUUUUUUUAAAUUUUUUCGUUCGAUCUUUUGAUAAAUCAUUGCUUUGAUAUUCUUGUUGUGUAUUCUUUGUUUAAUUUCUUUCUCUUGUGUAUAUAUUUUCCUGUUCUUACCAUUUUUCCAUUGUCAGUUCCAAGUUCCAACUCUUCAAGGUGCAAAACGGAGGGUGGCGGUACUACUAGCGAUGCGCAAUGGACUGCUUUCCGAUGCAUACAAUGGAGGAUGGUGCUUUUAUAGGGAGAAGAGGGAAUACAGGAACACAUAAAAAAGCAGUAAGGAGGUUUGAGGAGAAAACUUAUAUCGCUGGAAUAAGUCGGGUCCAAUCACCAGGAAUGUUUAUAGAUUAGUUGAUAAAGAUAUCUUUGGAGAUUCUAUAAUUUGAGAGAGAAUGCAGAUCCCUAUAACCAAUUCUUAUCAGUUCAAUGCUGCUAAAACAACCAAUAUCCUUAAUAUUCAGGUAAUGGAGAUCCUUUCAUUUUUAGGUACCGAUAACAAAUGUGGUUCUAUUGUGCUUUCGAACAACUAAACAGUA